GAGUUUGAUCUUGGCUCAGAACGAACGCUGGCGGCAGGCCUAACACAUGCAAGUCGAACGCUCCAGCAAUGGAGAGUGGCAGACGGGUGAGUAACACGUGGGAACCUUCCCUAUGGUUCGGAAUAGCUCAGGGAAACUUGGGGUAAUACCGGAUAAGCCCUUCGGGGAAGGAUUUAUCGCCAUUGGAUGGGCCCGCGUCGGAUUAGCUAGUUGGUGAGGUAACGGCUCACCAAGGCGACGAUCCGUAGCUGGUCUGAGAGGAUGAUCAGCCACACUGGGACUGAGACACGGCCCAGACUCCUACGGGAGGCAGCAGUGGGGAAUAUUGGACAAUGGGCGCAAGCCUGAUCCAGCCAUGCCGCGUGAGUGACGAAGGUCUUCGGAUUGUAAAGCUCUUUUGGCGGGGACGAUAAUGACGGUACCCGCAGAAUAAGCCCCGGCUAACUUCGUGCCAGCCGCCGCCGU
rnacentral:rRNA from 2 species